rnacentral:rRNA from 1 species
UUUAAGCUACAUAUUAAAGAGAUUUAUUUAUAUAAAUAGGCUUGCUAGCUGAUUGUAUAUAUAUGCUGGCCGGCGCGAGCUCGCUUUUAAUAAGCAACCAGUAAUAUGAGCAAUUCUUUACCUACAAGCCUAUAAUUAUAUUAACUCUAAGAGAAAUCUAAUAAUAAACGGAGUGAAUUGAAAUAUCUUAUUAACUUCAGGAAAAGAAAUCAAAAGAGAUUCUAUGAUUAGCGUGAGCUAAAAUAGAGUAGCCUAGAAAGUCAAAUGGUGGAUAAACUGUUUAAAUUUAAUGGGGAACCUUCCUCAAAGGCUAAAUAUAAUAUGUAAGCGAUAGUGGAAAGUACCGUGAGGGAACCAAAACAAAAACAGUAAUUUUAUAAGCAGUUCGGAAAAAUAAAAAAGUUAGAACGUACCUUUUGCAUAAUGGGUCACCAAGUUAACAUUAGAUGCGAGAUUCUACGUAGUUAAACCGAGCGUUAAAAUAACGGUAAGUGUCUAAAGUUAGACCCGAAGCCUGGUGAUUUUACCAUAAUCAGGAUUAUAAAAGUCCGAACGGAAUAUUGUAGCAUAAAUAUCCGAAGAAUUAUGGUAGGUGUAGUGAAAGACAAUACUGACCAGGAUAGCUGGUUUUCUGCGAAACCUAUAACAGUAGGCAAUUUAAGUAUAAUAUCUUAGCAGGUACAGAAUUUAAUCUCAGACAAGACAUAAGGCUUAACUUGUUAGCAAGUUAAGCUCAUGUUUUAUUUUGUACAAAUUGGGGGAUCAUGAAGAUUUUAUCAGUGAGUAUGUAGACUCGGAAUGGCAAAGAUAUAUCUUAAAUCAUCAGACAUAGAAUGAUAAGGUUGUAUGUCAAAAGGGAAACAGCCCAGAACAAGAGUUAAGGUUCCUAAAUUAUUAGUUGAGUGAAAUUAAGAAGGUUUUUAUUAAAGUCGACAAGGAGAUAGGCUUAGAAGCAGCCAUAAUUUUAUGACCUCGUAACAGAGCGCUUGUUAAGUUUUAAAAGCAUCGAAAAUUUAUCGGAUCUAAACAAUAUACCGAAACCUUGUCCAUAUUAUUUUAUAAUUAAGGCGUAGACUGCGUCUAGGAAAUGGUCGCUCGCUCGACCAUAAGCAAUUAUAAUUAAAUGGGGUAGCAGAACGUUGAGCUAAAUUAAGAUUUUUAUUUUUUAAAUGAAAUUAUAAUAAUUUAACUCAAGUGAUAAUGGUGACAUGAGUAACUAAAAGAAAAUUUUCCGCCUAAAGCUUAUGGAUGUAAUUAAGUAACGGCCUCUAAGUUUAUGGAAUCAAAAGAUUAAAACGAUGAGACAAUCUUUCAUACUAAGGACGACAUUUUAAGUGAAAAAUGUACUGGAAAAAUAGUAGUAAGUUUAAGCUAUGGCUAGAACUAGCUAUAGCUGUAAAUGGAAAGUAACCGUACCUAGAAUCUGAAACAAGUAAGCUAGUAGAGAAUACGAAGGCGUAAAUGAGCUAACAAUCAUAAAGGAACUCGGCAAAUUGACUACCGUAACUUCGGGAUAAGGAGAGCUCAUUAUUCUUGAUUAAUAUCAGGUAAAGAGGAAGAAGCAUGAAAUAGUGUUGUACGACUGUUUAAUUAAAACACAGCACUUUGCUGAAAGAUUAAAAAUCUAAGUAUAGAGUGUGAUGUCUGCCCGGUGCCGGCUGGUUAACAGAUAUAAUUAAAUAUACUAAUAUUUGAUGUAGACGGAAACCCCGGUUAAAGGCGGCCUUAACGUGAGGGUCCUAAGGUAGCGAAAUGCCUUGGCCGUUAAAUGCGGUCUUGCAUGAAUGAUGUAACGAUACAACAGCUGUCUCUAUGAUUGACUCAGUGAAAUUGGAAUAGCUGUGCAGAUACAGUUUACCUCUAGUUAGACGAGAAGACCCUAUGCAGCUUUACUGUCACUAAUUAUAGAGUAUGAUAAACAAUUUUCAGUUUAUAAGGUAAUUGACGGCCGGCUUGCUUAGCAAGCUGGCUCUAUGACAAUGAGAAUCCUUUAUUUUUUUUUCAUAUGAAUGAAUUGGUUUAGGACGAGCUUAAGCUCGUAGUAAAUCAACCUAAUUCAGCUUAUUUUCCUUUCUGUUGUAAGCGCAUAAUGAUAGAUUAUACUUAAAUUUGGAUUUAUGCCUGCAGAAAUAGAUAAGUACCCUUGGUUAAGGAACUAUCGCUAGGGGACAGUUUAUGUGGGGCACAGACCCUGUAAAGAGUAAACAGGAGUGUCUAAUAAUUUAUAAUUAUUUUGUUUGCGAUUUAAGGUAGUAUAACUAUUUUUAAUCAUAUAAAAUUAUUUAUAUGUACAUUCGUUGUAUAUAUAUUUAAAAAAAGGUAGGAUUUUCACUAUAUAGAAAUUAGAGAUAAUAAAAAUAUUAAGUAGUAGCUGCGGCGGCGCUAUAAAAUAAAGUUUUACUUUAUUUUUUACGCGCCUUUUUUAUUCCUCGGAAUCCGCGAGCUCGGUCGCAAGAUCGCACUAAUAUUUUUUAACUAUUAAGACUGGCUAUCUAGCUAUGCUCUAAUAGUUAUGUUUU